rnacentral:sRNA from 1 species
UUGCGCCUGCGGCGGACCCGGCACGGACAAACGUAUGACUUCGCAGGCAGUCUGUGCGUGUACGGUCUUGUACAUCCCGAAAUUUUCGGGAUUUAACGGAUUC